CUGGGAGAGGAUGCAGUACUGCUGGGCACAGAUAAUAUAACUGCGUGAUUUCCUCUACGGACAUGCAUUUGAGAAAUAUUUAAGUUGGCUCUCCAUGCUUGCUGCUACGUUCUUUGUCGUCAUAUUCCCCUGAUACACAGGGAUUCGAAGGAAGCAAAGGAAAAGCGACCGACAGCUCAAACUGAACGAGCAGAAAAGGACGACGAGUGCGUGCUCCGAAGUGCGUUAUAAACAAACAGUGGUGAAGAAACUCGUGUUAAUUGGUUUUGAUGCAUCCAUAUAGCCCCAAAGAAGAAUUCUAUUGGAACGCGACAUCAGUGUUUAAGCUGAGAACGCAAAAGAAUGGUUCCCCUUCUACAGUGCGAGAAGCGCAGUUUUAAAGCGUGAUAAGCCUCUUGAAUACCACACUUUCAGCCCGC